CCUGCCGGCGCGGGCCAACGACGACGGCGCAGCCGCGCUUCGAGAAUAGCCCCCCUCCCCCCGCCCCGGCGCGGCGGCGGGGAGCCCCCCGUAGCGACUACGCCGGCAGCGCAGAACGCCCCUUAGCAACCAGCUAGGCCGCGGCAUCCCCGGCCUUUCCCAGCCGCCGCCGCCGCCUCCCCGCCGCCCUUCCGCCGCCGCCGCGGCGCUUACAGGUCGGUGCCGAGCUGGGUGAAGCCGGAGUUGAGGCAGCCGCGGGCUAUGCGCCUCCAGAGGACAUCGCGGCUAGUGAAGAAGCGCAGGCGGCGGCAGACCUGGCCCAGGCGGCCCAAGGCCUGCGCGUCCAGGAGCCUGGAGUACUGACAGCACAGAAUGAUCCUGAUCCAAAGUGGCAGCGCUGCUUCCCACAGACAGUGGAGCAGGAAAAUGCGAGUAUGAUGUUGUUAUUCAUUCUUGUAGUAUUUUCCACUCUACGGAAGACUGAAAUGUUUGAGGAGAUUUCUCCCUCAAAAUUAAAAGAUAAAUAAGUUGUAAGAA